rnacentral:tRNA from 1 species
UGUUCUGUGGUUUAGUGAGUUGAAGCGCCGGUCUAGCGAAAGCGGGGUCGUAGGUUCGAAUUCUACCAGAACGC